ACCCCUCCGACCAGCAGUGAGAUCGGUGACUCAAGCCUUCCUGGCUGGGCGAUCGGCCUCAUCAUCCUUGGUGUCGGUAUCGGCGUCGUGAUGCUGAUCGUGGUCAUUGUGCUGGUCAUGAAGCGUCGCCGUCCCGAGU
rnacentral:ribozyme from 1 species